rnacentral:rRNA from 1 species
CCUACGGGAGGCUGCAGUGGGGGAUAUUGCACAAUGGGGGAAACCCUGAUGCAGCGACGCCGCGUGGGCGAAGAAGUAUUUCGGUAUGUAAAGCCCUAUCAGCAGAGAAGAAGAAAUGACGGUACCUGAGUAAGAAGCACCGGCUAAAUACGAACCAGCAGCCGCGGUAAUACGUAUGGUGCGAGCGUUAUCCGGAUUUACUGGGUGUAAAGGGAGCGCAGGCGGCAUGGCAAGCCUGAUGUGAAAGUCCGCGGCCCAACCGCGGGAUUGCAUUGGGAACUAGCGGGCUUGAGUGCCGGAGAGGUAGGCGGAAUUCCUGGUGUAGCGGUGAAAUGCGUAGAUAUUAGGAGGAACACCAGUGGCGAAGGCGGCCUACUGGACGGUGACUGACGCUGAGGCUCGAAAGCGUGGGGAGCAAACAGGAUUAGAUACCCCAGUAGUC